rnacentral:lncRNA from 1 species
CAGAAGGAGAGGGGAAGCUUUUCUCGCCUGAUGACAGCAGUUAUGUUGAAAUGUCUUCACCCACACACAAAUCCCAUGACUAAUCAUCAGGAAGUGAUCAAAACCUGGAUAGAACAAAUGACCACCGCUCUCUGUACCUCCUUCAAUUCAAAGGCGGGGGCUUACUUCUGGAACUUUGCUUUCGGCUUCGACCAUAGUUCGGGUCGCUACGUGGAGUCUUCGGAGACCGCAGUGCCCGGCUCAGGCUGCGCAAAGAUCAUCUCACCUCACUAUCACCACUCGGGAGAAGUCCUUAGAAAUAGUUUUACCGACAGAAACAAGUGAAUAAAGCCGCCCCCAACAGAUCAUUCCUCAGCUCUAGGCUUCUAGCAUCUUGGAGACGGGAACCAUGUGCCUGGCACCCGACAAUAAAGGAUGGCUUUUUGAAUGAAAGAAAGAAUGUACUGGCAGGUAUAGAGGGUUUCGUGUCUUUCUCUGUAUUCUUAAUUCUAGCUUUCUACUUCUUCACAUUGGCACUUUCUUGCCCAGGAGCUGAAUCUUUGAAUCCCUAGAAGACCGAGGCAAGGAAAGGCACGGAGAUUCUGACAACUU